rnacentral:rRNA from 1 species
UACGAAGGGGGCUAGCGUUGUUCGGAAUCACUGGGCGUAAAGCGCACGUAGGCGGACUCUUAAGUCGGUGGUGAAAUCCUGGAGCUCAACUCCAGAACUGCCUUCGAUACUGGGAGUCUCGAGUCCGGGAGAGGUGAGUGGAACUGCGAGUGUAGAGGUGAAAUUCGUAGAUAUUCGCAAGAACACCAGAGGCGAAGGCGGGUUACUGGGCUGAUACUGACGCUGAUGCGCGAAAGCCAGGGGAGCAAACGGG